CAGUCGCCACGGGAAUACGAAGGGGGCUAGCGUUGUUCGGAUUUACUGGGCGUAAAGCGCACGUAGGCGGAUCGAUCAGUCAGGGGUGAAAUCCUGGAGCUCAACUCAAGAACUGCCUUUGAUACUGUCGAUCUCGAGUCCGGAAGAGGUGAGUGGAACUCCUAGUGUAGAGGUGGAAUUCGUAGAUAUUAGGAAGAACACCAGUGGCGAAGGCGGCUCACUGGUCCGGUACUGACGCUGAGGUGCGAAAGCGUGGGGAGCAAACAGGAUUAGAUACCCCCGUAGUCCCUGUCUCUUAUAC
rnacentral:rRNA from 1 species